rnacentral:rRNA from 1 species
UAGGGAAUCUUCCGCAAUGGGCGAAAGCUUGCCGGAGCAACGUCGUGCGAGUGAUGAAGGUCUUCGGAUCGUAACACUCUGUUAUUAGGGAAGAACAAAUGUGUAAGUAACUAUGCACGUCUUGACGGUACCUAAUCAGAAAGCCACGGCUAACUACGUGCCAGCAGCCGCGGUAAUACGUAGGUGGCAAGCGUUAUCCGGAAUUAUUGGGCGUAAAGCGCGCGUAGGCGGUUUUUUAAGUCUGAUGUGAAAGCCCACGGCUCAACCGUGGAGGGUCAUUGGAAACUGGAAAACUUGGGUGCAGAAGAGGAAAGUGGAAUUCCAUGUGUAGCGGUGAAAUGCGCAGAGAUAUGGAGGAACACCAGUGGCGAAGGCGACUUUCUGGUAUGUAACAGACACUAAUGUGCGAAAGCGUGGAGCUCUAACAGG